rnacentral:lncRNA from 1 species
GCCACUCAAAAGGAUGCCUGAACACCCAAUGACACUAUCAGAGACAUUUCAAACUGCAAAAGAUGCUUCAACACUGACAUCUAGAAAUCUUCUUGACUGACGGUCCCCUGGACUCAGAAACUGGCUUAGCUUUUGGAGCCCACCUGCAUCACCGCUUUUUGAAGUGAAUUUAGCUGAAGUCAUCUAUUAUCAGCACUAAGAGACCUGUUCAGUGACAUGGAAAAUCUACCAACUUAGAUUCUGGACUGUGAACCUUCUUAAAAAUGUCAAAGUUGGGACUGUAGGGGAAGAGGACUGGCCACCCCAAAAUAUUUAAAAAGAGCAAUUCGACUUGGUGUGUCAACUGGUGAUGGAAAUCCCAGGAUGAGGGGAUUAAUCCCUGUGCUCUUGGAUCAAAAUAUGCAGGGUCAAGAGAAAAACGAAAGAGAGCCCAGGAUGUGACUCUUCCCAAUGCUGAGACAUACAGAGUGGAUUACAGCUGAGUGUUUUUGAACAAAGGCUUAAUAAACUUCAACCUCCGUGGUACCAAGUACUGAAGUCACAGUGAAAUACAGCAGUACAAAAACCCUCUUCUUCUUUUUCACCGUUUCUUGGCAUUUUGCCAUCACCAACCUCUGCCAUCGGAAUACCUCUAAAAUCUUUCACCAAUGCUGUUAUUGUGGUUAAAUGCUAUAAAACUCAGAGGCAC